GGCGGACGGGUGAGUAACGCGUAGGAAUCUACCCAGUAGUGGGGGACAACUUGGGGAAACCCAAGCUAAUACCGCAUACGCCCUACGGGGGAAAGCGGGGGACCUUCGGGCCUCGUGCUAUUGGAUGAGCCUGCGUCGGAUUAGCUAGUUGGUGGGGUAAAGGCCCACCAAGGCGACGAUCCGUAGCUGGUCUGAGAGGAUGAUCAGCCACACUGGGACUGAGACACGGCCCAGACUCCUACGGGAGGCAGCAGUGGGGAAUAUUGCGCAAUGGGGGCAACCCUGACGCAGCCAUGCCGCGUGUGUGAAGAAGGCCUUAGGGUUGUAAAGCACUUUCACUUGGGAAGAAAAGCUGCAGGUUAAUAGCCUGUAGCCGUGACAUUACCUUGAGAAGAAGCACCGGCUAACUCCGUGCCAGCAGCCGCGGUAAUACGGAGGGUGCGAGCGUUAAUCGGAAUUACUGGGCGUAAAGCGCGCGUAGGCGGUCUGUUAAGUCGGAUGUGAAAGCCCUGGGCUCAACCUGGGAACUGCAUCCGAUACUGGCCGACUAGAGUGCA
rnacentral:rRNA from 1 species